CACGUAGGGGGCAAGCGUUGUCCGGAAUUAUUGGGCGUAAAGAGCUCGUAGGCGGCUCGGUAAGUCAGGUGUCAAAUCCUCAGGCUCAACCUGGGGCUCCACCUGAUACUGCUGUGGCUAGAGUACGGAAGAGGCGAGUGGAAUUCCUGGUGUAGCGGUGAAAUGCGCAGAUAUCAGGAGGAACACCGAUUGCGAAGGCAGCUCGCUGGGACGUUACUGACGCUGAGACGCGAAAGCGUGGGGAGCAAACAGG
rnacentral:rRNA from 1 species